rnacentral:tRNA from 1 species
AAAAUCCGUCGACUUAUAGUAAGAGGAAAAUCGGGAGGGUUCAAGUCCCUCUAUCCCCA